ensembl:snRNA U6 U6 spliceosomal RNA
GUGCUCACUUUGUCAGUGCAUAUACUAAAGGUGGAAUGAUAGAGAAAAGCUUAUCUUGACCCCUGAGCAAUGAUGGCACACAAAUUCAUGAAGCAUUCCAUAUGUUC